GAUGAACGCUGGCGGCGUGCCUAAUACAUGCAAGUCGAGCGAACGGACGAGAAGCUUGCUUCUCUGAUGUUAGCGGCGGACGGGUGAGUAACACGUGGAUAACCUACCUAUAAGACUGGGAUAACUUCGGGAAACCGUAGCUAAUACCGGAUAAUAUUUUGAACCGCAUGGUUCAAAGGUGAAAGACGGUCUUGCUGUCACUUAUAGAUGGAUCCGCGCUGCAUUAGCUAGUUGGUAAGGUAACGGCUUACCAAGGCAACGAUGCAUAGCCGACCUGAGAGGGUGAUCGGCCACACUGGAACUGAGACACGGUCCAGACUCCUACGGGAGGCAGCAGUAGGGAAUCUUCCGCAAUGGGCGAAAGCCUGACGGAGCAACGCCGCGUGAGUGAUGAAGGUCUUCGGAUCGUAAAACUCUGUUAUUAGGGAAGAACAUAUGUGUAAGUAACUGUGCACAUCUUGACGGCACCUAAUCAGAAAGCCACGGCUAACUACGUG
rnacentral:rRNA from 1 species